UAUUAACUCAUGCCAGUCUCUAGGUGAACUACCGCCGCCAGAUAGAAGCAGGUGUCCAACAUGGCGAACACGGGGAACGGAUCUCUCGCUACAACUCUAAUUUUAUUCAUGUUGUCGGCAGCUUUUCUUCACAAAGGAGCUGCUCAGGAGGACAUAGAAGGUCAAAAUCUAGUGACGUACAACAUCUCGGUGGUAGAGGGGGAGGUGGCGACCAUCAGCUGCAGAGUCAAAGACAACGACGACUCAGUCAUCCAGCUCCUCAACCCCAACAGACAGACCAUCUACUUCAGAGACGUCAGACCCUUGAAGGACAGCCGGUUUCAGCUGGUCAACUUCUCAGACAACGAGCUCCGAGUGUCGUUGUCCAACGUGUCGCUGUCUGACGAGGGGAGAUAUGUGUGCCAGCUCUACACCGACCCCCCACAAGAGGCCUACGCCGACAUCACUGUGCUAGUCCCGCCAGGCAGCCCCAUCAUCGAGUCGCGGGAAGACGUGGUCAGCGAAGGGAACGAGACGGAGAUAACGUGCACCACCGCGGGCAGCAAGCCAGCCAGCAGCAUCCGGUGGAUGAAAGGAGAGGAGGAACUUCGAGGUGACCUGACUGUGGAAGAGACGUAUGACCGGAUGUUCACAGCCACAAGCAGGCUGACCCUCACCGUCACCAAGGAGGAUGAUGGGGUUCCUGUCGUCUGCAUUGUGGACCAUCCUGCAGUCAAAGACUUCCAAGCACAGAAAUACCUGGAAGUGCAAUACAAACCCGAGGUGAAGAUCUUUGUGGAGUUUCCUGAGGGACUGACGAGGGAAGGGGAGAACCUGGAGCUCACGUGCAAAGCCAAGGGGAAACCACAGCCUCAGCAAAUCAACUGGGUGAAGGUGGAUGACGACGUUCCCUCCCACGCGGUUAUAACCGGCACGGACCUGUUAAUCGAAAACCUCAACAAGUCCUACAACGGCACGUACCGCUGCGUGGCCUCCAACUCAGUGGGCGAGUCUUACGACGACUACAUCCUCUAUGUACACGAUGCUCUAACCACUACCCCUAUACCCACAACUACCACCACCACCACUACCUCCACCCUCCCCGACACUACCCAAGACUCCAGAGCAGGCGAAGGAGCACCACAGAAGAUGGACCACGCGGUCAUCGGAGGGGUUGUGGCAGUGGUCGUUUUCGCCAUGCUCUGCCUGCUCAUAAUUUUGGGACGGUACUUUGCGAGACACAAAGGUACUUACUUCACCCAUGAAGCCAAAGGGGCAGACGACGCAGCGGACGCCGACACAGCCAUCAUCAACGCUGAGGGCGGCCAGAACAACUCAGAUGAGAAGAAGGAGUACUACAUCUAACCCUGCGUGAGCCGGCAGAUAUUUAUUUUCACUGUAUCUCCACCUCUCAGUGACAUCUUCACCCUCCCCAUCGUCAUGCUGUUGGCUUUCCUGUGAGCUCCAGGUUGCCCCAGCUAAUGAAAACCACACCCGCUGCUGCACCCUGGUCCCUGGAGCUGUCCAGAAAGGGCGGGGUUGGAGGCGGAGGUCUGUGAUAAGAAUCCUCUGGCACAGGCGG